AAAAACAUGGCUUUUUGAAUAUAAUUUAAAGUUUAACCUGCCCAAUGAUUGAUAAAUUAAAUGGCCGCGGUAUAUUGACCGUGCAAAGGUAGCAUAAUCAUUAGUUUUUUAAUUGAAAGCUGGAAUGAAAGGUUUGAUGAGAAAAUAACUGUCUCUAUUUAAAUUUUAGAAUUUUAUUUUUAAGUUAAAAAGCUUAAAUAUUUUUCGAAGACGAGAAGACCCUAUAGAGUUUGAUAAUCUUUAUUAUUGAUAAGUUUAGAAUUUUUAAAUUUAAUAAUUAAAAUUAUUUAGUUGGGGUGAUUAAAAAAUUGAUAAAACUUUUUUUGUAUAAAACCAUUAAUUAAUGAUUAUUUGAUCCUAUGAAUAGAUUAAAAGAAUAAAUUACCUUAGGGAUAACAGCGUAAUUUUUUUUUAGAGUUCAAAUUAAAAGAAAAGAUUGCGACCUCGAUGUUGGAUUAAAAUUAAUUAUUGGUGUAGAAGCUAAAUAAAUUGGGUCUGUUCGACCCUUAAAAUUUUACUUGAUCUGAGUUCAAACCGGUGUGAGCCAGGUUGGUUUUUAUCUYGAAAUAGUUAAUAUAUUUUAGUACGAAAGGACCAAAUAUUUAAUAAAAAAUUUUUAUUUUAGAAUAAAAUUAUUAUUUUGGCAGAAUAGUGCGAUAGAUUUAGAAUCUUUAAAUGUAAAUUUUUACAAAUAAUAUUGUUAUUUAAUGAUUUAAUUAUAAUAUUAAUUUCAAGAGUAAUUUUAGUUUUUAGAGUAAUAUUAGGUGUAGCUUUUUUAACUUUAUUAGAACGUAAGGUAUUAAGG
rnacentral:rRNA from 1 species